rnacentral:rRNA from 1 species
GUCUUCUUGAAUGAAAUUAGAAGUCUGACCUGCCCUAUGAUUUUAAAUGGCCGCGGUAUUUUGACCGUGCGAAGGUAGCAUAAUAAAUAGUCUAUUAAUUAUAGUCUGGAAUGAAGGGUUUGACGUGGGGUAGCUUUCUUAAAUUUUAUGAUGAAUUUAAAUUAUCAGUAAAAAUGCUGAUGUAUAGUAGGAGGACGAGAAGACCCUAUAGAGCUUUAUACUUUAAUGAUAUUUUGUGGUAUAUAUUUUAUUUAUUUUGUUGGGGCGAUAUUAAAUAUAAACAUUUAAAUUAUAUUCUUGAUAAUAGGGUAGAUGAUCCAUUAUUAAUGAUUUUAGACUAAGUUACCUUAGGGAUAACAGCGUAAUCUUUUCUUAGAGUUCAUAUCGAUGGAAAGGCUUGCGACCUCGAUGUUGGAUUAAAAUACCUGUAAGGCGUAGUAGUUUUAUAAGGUGGUCUGUUCGACCAUUAAAAUUUUACAUGAUCU